GAUGAAGAACGUAGCGAAAUGCGAUAAGUAAUGUGAAUUGCAGAAUUCAGUGAAUCAUCGAAUCUUUGAACGCACCUUGCGCCCUUUGGCUAUUCCGAAGGGCAUGCCUGUUUGAGUAUCAUGAACACCUCAACUCUUCACGGCUUGCCGUGAUGAGUUUGGACUUUGGGGGUCUUGCUGGCCUACGACCCAGCUCCUCUCAAAUGUAUUAGCUUGCCGGUGUUUGGUGGCAUCACAGGUGUGAUAACUAUCUACGCUUGUGGUUUUCCACUAGGUAACCUUCAGCAAUGGAGGUUCACCGGAGCUCACAAAUGUCUCUCCUUGCCAAGGACAGAUUUUGACCAUUUGAUCUCAAAUCAGGUAGGACUACCCGCUGAACUUAAGCAUAUCAAUAAGCGGAGGA
rnacentral:misc_RNA from 1 species